GGAUAACGUAGGGAAACUUACGCUAAUACCGCAUACGACCUACGGGUGAAAGCAGGGGAUCUUCGGACCUUGCGCGAUUGAAUGAGCCGAUGUCGGAUUAGCUAGUUGGCGGGGUAGAAGCCCACCAAGGCGACGAUCCGUAGCUGGUCUGAGAGGAUGAUCAGCCACACUGGAACUGAGACACGGUCCAGACUCCUACGGGAGGCAGCAGUGGGGAAUAUUGGACAAUGGGCGCAAGCCUGAUCCAGCCAUACCGCGUGGGUGAAGAAGGCCUUCGGGUUGUAAAGCCCUUUUGUUGGGAAAGAAAUCCAGCUGGCUAAUACCCGGUUGGGAUGACGGUACCCAAAGAAUAAGCACCGGCUAACUUCGUGCCAGCAGCCGCGGUAAUACGAAGGGUGCAAGCGUUACUCGGAAUUACUGGGCGUAAAGCGUGCGUAGGUGGUCGUUUAAGUCCGUUGUGAAAGCCCUGGGCUCAACCUGGGAACUGCAGUGGAUACUGGGCGACUAGAGUGUGGUAGAGGGUAGCGGAAUUCCUGGUGUAGCAGUGAAAUGCGUAGAGAUCAGGAGGAACAUCCAUGGCGAAGGCAGCUACCUGGACCAACACUGACACUGAGGCACGAAAGCGUGGGGAGCAAACAGGAUUAGAUACCUGGUAGUCCACGC
rnacentral:rRNA from 1 species